CCGGCCGUCCUUAGUCCCCUCCCCCUGGCGCUCCGGCUGGUUGUCACCCGCAUCCACCCAGCACCUCCCUUCCUCCUUUCCUCCGCUCCAACGUCUCCGGUAUGCCCGGCGGCCCGCCCCGCUCACCUGCGUCGACCGCUAAGGGGGCGCCCUUACCUGCGCGCCGAAAGCUCCAACCCUGAUGGCUGCAUCACACUUGAUUAAAAGAAUCCUGGCUGGAGGCUGGGCAUGGUGGCUUAUGCCUGUAAUCCCAGCUCUUUGGGAGGUCAAGCUGUGCUUUAGCACCUUGAAUAGUUCCUACCAUGCAGUAGGGAUCCAAUAUAAUCAUUGAAUGAAUGGAUGGAUGAAUGAAUGAGUGCAUUAGCACCAUGGCUUUAAA